rnacentral:miRNA from 1 species
GGCUCUAGUCUGGCAUUGUA